rnacentral:rRNA from 1 species
CAAUAGCGUAUAUUAAAGUUGUUGCAGUUAAAAAGCUCGUAGUUGGAUUUGUGGCGUACGGUGUGUUCCGGGCACUUGUUGUCUGAGUAACCUGCUGUUGCCAUCCUUGGGUGGAACCUGUGUGGCAUUAGGUUGUCGUGCAGGGGAUGCCCAUCAUUUACUGUGAAAAAAUUAGAGUGUUCAAAGCAGGCUUAUGCCGUUGAAUAUAUUAGCAUGGAAUAAUGAGAUAGGACUUUUUUGCUAUUUUGUUGGUUUGCGCAAGAAGGUAAUGAUUAAUAGGGACAGUUGGGGGUAUUCGUAUGCCAUUGUCAGAGGUGAAAUUCUUGGAUUUUUGGAAGACGAACUACUGCGAAAGCAUUUACCAAGGAUGUUUUCAUUAA